UACAGAGGUCUCAAGCGUUGUUCGGAUUCAUUGGGCGUAAAGGGUGCGUGGGCGGCGCGGUAAGUCGGGUGUGAAAUCUCGGGGCUUAACUCCGAAACUGCAUUCGAUACUGCCGUGCUUGAGGACUGGAGAGGAGACUGGAAUUUACGGUGUAGCGGUGAAAUGCGUAGAUAUCGUAAGGAAGACCAGUGGCGAAGGCGGGUCUCUGGACAGUUCCUGACGCUGAGGCACGAAGGCCAGGGGAGCAAACGGG
rnacentral:rRNA from 1 species